GACGAACCGUGCGAACGUUUAUUCGGAAUCACUGGGCUUAAAGCGCGUGUAGGCGGGUCGGCACGUCGGUCGCUGAAAUCCCCCGGCUCAACCGGGGAAGGGGCGCCGAUACGGCCGGCCUGGAGGGACGUAGGGGGGGCUGGAACUUCCGGUGGAGCGGUGAAAUGCGUUGAGAUCGGAAGGAACGCCCGUGGCGAAAGCGAGCCCCUGGACGUCUACUGACGCUGAGACGCGAAAGCCAGGGGAGCGAACGGG
rnacentral:rRNA from 1 species